UCAAUAUCGAUAAAGUGUGUUCCUGUCUGAUGUAGAUUUAAACUUUGUAACUUGACAAUCAAGUGUAGUAUGUUGAAUGACGGAAGGUCCGUUAGUUUUCUUAAAUUCCGAUUCAUGACAUCUGUUAUAAAUAUUAUGGCCUGCCUUUUUUUCGUCAAUAAAAUCAAGAGUGACAAUUGAUUUCAACUUGAAGUGGACAGAAC